GACGAACGCUGGCGGUGUGCUUAACACAUGCAAGUGGAGCGACGAACCAGGGCUUGCCCUGGGGCAGAGCCGCGAACGGGUGAGUAACACGUGGGGAACCUACCCCGAUGACCGGGACAACCCGAGGAAACUCGGGCUAAUACCGGAUGUGCUCUCCUCACAUCAGUGAGAUGAGUAAAGGAAGCUUCGGCCUCCGCACCGGGAGGGCCCCGCGGCCCAUUAGCUUGUGUGUGGGGUAAUGGCCUACCAAGGCUGCGAUGGGUAGCUGGUCUGAGAGGACGAUCAGCCACACUGGGACUGAGACACGGCCCAGACUCCUACGGGAGGCAGCAGUGGGGAAUCUUGCGCAAUGCGCGAAAGCGUGACGCAGCAACACCGCGUGGGGGAAGACGGCCUUCGGGUUGUAAACCCCUUUCAGGAGGGACGAAGGCCGGCCGGUGAAUAGCCGUGCCGGUUGACGGUACCUCCACAAGAAGCCCCGGCUAACUACGUGCCAGCCGCCGCAGUAA
rnacentral:rRNA from 1 species